UUAUCCAAACAUUUAUGCAUUUUGUCAUGAAGGUAACAAGGUGGAAUCCGGGCACAUGGACCAAAGGGGCGGGACUGUCUCCCGUAAAGUUUACAAUCCUGUGAGCACCCCUUCUUCCAUCAAGCACCUCGUAAGCCCCAGGAAAGGAAGCACUGUUUAACUUCUUAAUGAGUGGCUGAAGAAGGUUAACUGUAUUUAUGGCAAGAGGUUCUUUUCAUAGACCUUCAUGGAUAGCUUCUUUCAGGCACAGCAACUGCAGUUUUCCCCUUCAUCAUCAGGAGAGUAAACCUGAAAUAAGGACACUUCAUAUUCUUUUGAUUAAGAAAUGACCUUUUCUCUUUUUAUGACCUGAAUACAGCCACUUCUGGUGUAAGACAGAGCAGCCACUUAGAGAAACUGAAGAAGUGUGUCUCGGCCAACUGAAACGACAGGGGAACUGAAAUGCUGUGCUGUGGAAGACGCCUGGAGAAUAUUUCAGGAGCCGAGAUGGAGCCUGGUGCCUGUGCAGCAAAAAGCAACGCUUCCAUCACAGGGGCAGCUGUCGGCCCCUGCUCUGGACGGGUGAUGGAGAACCAGAAGGAGCAUCUUGCCUGAGACAGCACAGCAAGUGUCAGGAGAGGAACGGGACCCUGGCUCCCCACGGCAGAACUGGCCAGACUGAAGCAGAGGAGGUGAGCUGUUCCUCAAAACAGGGGGCUGCGGGUGGGCUUUCCUCAUGUACAGGGUCUGACCCUCAGGGCUGAUGAUGGCCCAUGGUACAGGGCAACUACAGCUUUGUUAACCUUCAUGCCUUUGUAAAUGCUGGGCAUGCACUAUUUGCUUUGCAAUCGUCUUGAAGGGUUCAAAUGCUUAAUUCACCUUCUCACUUUGCUCUACUCUGAGAGAACAAACAUGGAAAAGACAGUAACACAUCAGAGCUGGCGGGGGGUACCUCUCCCUGGUAUCCUUCCUUCUCAUUCUAGCAGAGACUCAGAAAAGGACCUUUAAUAGUAAGAAACCAACCAAGUUACUGUGUGCUCUGCUGUUAGUGUAGAAGUCAAUCAAGAACUUAAAUAUGCGGUUUGAUCCCCUAUAACUGAACAGAGCUCUGCAAGCAACCCAUGUGGGGUAUGACAAAGGCAGCAAACGCAAAGCAAAGAUACAGUGGCCAUCAGCUCAGAGGGCACAACAGCUUCCUCUAACACUGGUUCUGCCUUUGUUGUGCAGCCCAGAAAACAAAGGUGUGCUCCUGGGUCCUCCCUGUUCACAAGAGGAUCGAGCCCAGCUCCAGGCUUUGGUGUGCACAUAUAGGUAUUUGUGAAACUAGAAAAUCUCACCACUAGUUACUCCACAAUAAACCUGCCUCUUCAUUUGUACCUAAGUGGGGACCCUGCUCCAUUUUUACAGCAGCAUAUUUAAUAAGCAAAAAAUAGCUCAUUAAAAAGAAACGUAUUUCUUGCUAAGAAGUCAUCGGUUUAAAUGCCCAUUUUCAAAUAUUGUAUGUGAAAAUGCUCAAGUCCUGCGGUGGGUCACUUAUUAAAAAUUUGAUUUGAAGAUCAGCCUACAAGUCAUAAACAGUCUCAUGAAGAUGUAACUAUCAUAAUAACUUUCCUUUUCCCAGUUGGAAAUACAAGAUGAACUGUUUUGAAGCACCUAAUGUAUGACUAAUGUUUAUUUGUUUUACAAGAAGCUUUACAGCUGCAAUGUUCCAAGAAUGCUUAAAUUCAAUAAACAGCUAUUAUAAUUCACUGAAUGGUGGCAUCUCCUCUAUAAGAAAACAUAACCUAUCCAUUCUGAUUUUUCAGAAUCAGUAAAAAAACUUUCACAUCUAUUACUCUAAAGUGA